GCCUGGUUAGCUGAGUCGGUAGAGCAUGAGACUCUUAAUGUCAGGGUUGUGGGUUCAAAUCACACAUUGGGUG